rnacentral:rRNA from 1 species
UACGGAGGGCGCAAGCGUUAAUCGGAAUCACUGGGCGUAAAGCGCGCGUAGGCUGUUUGAUAAGUCAGACGUGAAAUCCUUCGGCUCAACCGGAGAACUGCGUUUGAUACUGUUAGACUCGAGUCCCGGAGAGGGUGGCGGAAUUCCAGGUGUAGGAGUGAAAUCCGUAGAUAUCUGGAGGAACACCGGUGGCGAAGGCGGCCACCUGGACGGGUACUGACGCUGAGGCGCGAAAGCGUGGGGAGCAAACAGG